GUGGGGAAUCUUGCGCAAUGGGCGAAAGCCUGACGCAGCCAUGCCGCGUGAAUGAUGAAGGUCUUAGGAUUGUAAAAUUCUUUCACCGGGGACGAUAAUGACGGUACCCGGAGAAGAAGCUCCGGCUAACUUCGUGCCAGCAGCCGCGGUAAUACGAAGGGGGCUAGCGUUGCUCGGAAUUACUGGGCGUAAAGGGCGCGUAGGCGGACAGCUUAGUCAGAGGUGAAAGCCCAGGGCUCAACCUUGGAAUUGCCUUUGAUACUGGCUGUCUUGAGUUUGGGAGAGGUGAGUGGAACUCCGAGUGUAGAGGUGAAAUUCGUAGAUAUUAGGAGGAACACCAGUGGCGAAGGCGACUUUCUGGACUGUAACUGACGCUGAGGCUCGAAAGCCAGGGGAGCGAACGGGAUUAGAAACCCGAGUAGUCC
rnacentral:rRNA from 1 species